rnacentral:rRNA from 1 species
CCUACGGGUGGCAGCAGUGAGGAAUAUUGGUCAAUGGACGAGAGUCUGAACCAGCCAAGUAGCGUGAAGGAUGACUGCCCUAUGGGUUGUAAACUUCUUUUAUAUGGGAAUAAAAUGUUCCACGUGUGGGAUUUUGUAUGUACCAUAUGAAUAAGGAUCGGAUAACUCCGUGCCAGCAGCCGCGGUAAUACGGAGGAUCCGAGCGUUAUCCGGAUUUAUUGGGUUUAAAGGGAGCGUAGGUGGAUUGUUAAGUCAGUUGUGAAAGUUUGCGGCUCAACCGUAAAAUUGCAGUUGAAACUGGCAGUCUUGAGUACAGUAGAGGUGGGCGGAAUUCGUGGUGUAGCGGUGAAAUGCUUAGAUAUCACGAAGAACUCCGAUUGCGAAGGCAGUUCACUGGACUGCAACUGACACUGAGGCUCGAAAGUGUGGGUAUCAAACAGGAUUAGAUACCCUUGUAGUC